UCCAAAAUGUAUUGUUUUCAAGAGGUCAGAAUGUCUCUUCUAUCUAUGUCCACUUAGAGGACCAAACAUGACGAGGAGGAGAGACUAUGAUGCAGCAAGAAGGCCCUCAACAGACACCAGAUGCCAGCAUCCUGAUUCUGGACUUCUAGCCUCCAGAACUAUCAAAUCAGGCAGCUGUCAUACUUACUAACUCAUGCAACAGAUUAUAAACCAAGCCAACAAUAAAAUGACAGGAAAUCAACCUAAAAU
rnacentral:lncRNA from 1 species